GACCCAAAAAAAAAAGGAUAAAGCCCAUCCAACGCCUGAAAGCGGGCUCUUCUUAUACUUUCUUUUCUCUUCAUUUUCCAGAUUAGUCCAAACAAAGGUACCAAAAAUGGGGGAUCUGAAGAUUUCGAGCAAGCCUGAGAAGAAUCUCGGCGAAUUGGCCCUUUCCGGCUCCAAAUUCGAAGACGCCGCUGAUCUGUUCGAUAAAGAUGUCAAUUGCUUUAAACUCGCCGAUUCAUGGGAUAAUGCUGGAGCAGUAUAUGUUAAAUUUGGCUAAUUGUCAUCUGAAGGUGGAUAGCAAACACGAGGCUGCAAAUACUGCUCAUUACUACAAGAAGUCAAAUAUUAAAGGUUCGUGAGUCACGGAAUAAUUAUUUGCUUCAAACCAGCAUUUUUAUGUUGCAUGCUUCCGAAAAACAUAGAAGCAAUGUCUUUGGAUAAAUAGAUGCUUUGGAUUCCCGAUCUCUUUUGUUUAGAUCAUCAAGUAGAUGAUUGAGAAAGUAUAUGGAAAGAUAAAAGAAGAAGAAUAAGAGGGGAUGGGGACGGCAAUGACCUAAAGAGGAAGAAGUAGAGAUAAAAGUGAAUGGGCCUUUUUUUUUAAAGGUUUGUAGCUAUUUUGUUAAAUGGGUAAUGGGUGGGUUAAAUGAGUACUUGAAAUUUGGGUUAAGGCGUAGGAUUGUACCACGUGUGCAAAAUGAGUCUUCACGUGUACAAAAUUAGUCUUCCGUUAGUGGGAGGGGCAAGUGAACUAGUUAUUGGACGACGAGGGUACUCAUGGACAAAAAGUAUGACGAAGGGUUUGACAUACAAUUUUCGAAAGUUCAGGGGGUUUAUUUGUCCGUUUUCCCUAGAAUAUUCAGACCUUGCUAACUCAAAUCAGAGGUGCAAGCAUUGUAUCUUCCUAUCUACUCCUUUGUCAUAUUUCACUUUGUGAUAAUCAGUUUGACUAAUAUUAUCUAUCUCAUCCGAAAACCCAAGCAUACGCCUCAAAGCCAUCACCCUACAAACCCUGGAUUUCAGUGAUCAAACUUUAGUUUAAUAAUCCUCUGCUUCCAAAAAGGUUUUUUUUCCCAGAAAUACUUUAGAGGAGUAGAAUGUUAAAUUGGGAGAGAAGCAGUCAGAUUAAAUUUUAUAUGUCAAAGACCCGUUCAUUUCGGAUCACCAGGAUACAACUUUAUAUCUCAAUGUUGCUAUGGUUUCAAUACUUUGUAUAGAAUUCUCUCUGUAUAUUAUAAUUUUUUUGACUGAUCUCUCUGACCUAUGUGCGACUAUGGCUUAUGUCAUUCCAUGUCUGGAUGAGCUAAUGGACCUUGGUUGGCCCAGGUCCAUCAACAAUUUGAAAAAUCAGGACUUCUGCUAAUUUGGACUUCUCUACUCCCAUUGACUCUUUUUGAGUAAGAUCAGUAGGACAUAAGCUUACAUCCGGCUUCAUAGAAGUAAAGAGUUUGUAUCGCCGGAAUUGAGAUUUAUAAAUCAAUGUUGGUACGGUUUCAAAGUCGUUUGUGUUGUAUCGUUAGAAUAAGGAUUUAUAUCUUAAUGUCCGUAUAUUUUCAAAGUCGUUUUAUUGUCAGGAUAGAGAUUUAUAUCUCAAUGCUAGAGUUUUAUUUCUAUAUAAUUUUAUAACUUGAAAGCUGUUCAUUUCAUAUAAGAAAUUUUAGAGGAGUGUUGUAUUUUUGUUUGUUUAGUUCUGUCAAUUGGUUUCUACGUAAGCUAUAUAGUGAUGAUUAGGUUUGUUUUUCUAAUAUGUUAAUUUUCUUCUUUCUUCUUUACUGCCUUACUCUGCUCCCCCCCUCCCUUUUUAAAAAAAAAUCUCUUUUGUUUGUUUUCUUUGGAUGUUGUUGAACUGUUUUUCCUUAUUAAUUGACAUGUUUUCUUCUGUAGAAUAUUUUUAUUUGUUGCACUUAGGAUCUCUCAUUACCUCUGUGAGGUAGUGUUAUUAAGCUCCAUAGAACUCACUUAUGGAUUACAUUGGAUAUGAUGUCGUUAUUGUAUUUUUUUUAAUUCGUUUCAAUUAUUAAUUUAAUUGAAUAUGCAAUUUUCAAAUUUUAGUAGUAUUUUUGAGGCAAAGACUCGGCUUUAUUGGAGUAAGCCCCUAAUCCGAUUGAAGUUGAAAUUUUCAGUUAGUGAUAAGUGAAAAAAAGUAUUUUGAUAUUGAAGUUGAGUGCUUAGUAUCAACAGAUUUAGGAUUUUAAACCGAGCUUUUUUGGAUAGUGACGAUAGAGAUUCACAUAUGAUAGAGGAAGACAUGUUAUGAAGUUGAUGAGUAGCAAAUAUUAUACUUUGUUUACAUGAGAAGUGAGUUUCUCAUAUGAACUAUGCUUUCGGAGAAACAUAAUGAGAGAGAUUGAAUUUUCUCUAGGUUCAACAUUGCGAAUGGUCUGCUUAUGGCUUGGUAUGUGGUGUCACAAUGAUAUUUUUCUAGAACUCUGAGGUCUUUGAAGAAAUAAGAAGAUCGUUAAUCUUGGGUUAAUUAUCUAUAUGAUUAUCGACGAGAUGACAUGUGAUUCUUCCAAGUUUUGAGGAUGAACAAGUAUGGCUUAGAACAAGCAGUAGCUGGAGGAGUUGGAUUUCAACAACAAAGAGAUGAACGAGGAGUUGCUCAAGAAGAAUAACGACAACAUUAGAUCAUGAUAUAUUGCAGACCCUUAAGUUUAUAAAGAGUUGAUUUAGUUUUUUGGAUUUUCUUUCAAUUAACGCAGGAUAAAAAGGAAAAAAUCUUAUUCCCAUCAGCUUGACUUUAUUCCAUAUAUGUGAUGCUCUUUGAGUUAUUAUAUAUCUAAUAUGAAUUGAAUCUGCAAUGUUUUUGUAAAACAUUGUGUCUAAAUUUUGUUAUGUGGAUGGUAAGAAAGUUCACUUUA